GGUGGUAACCACGAAGGUAUAGAUCGCGGCGUUCGUGCGGCAAAUGACUGUUCUGACGAACGCAAUCAAAAACCUCCAACAGCAACCGACUCAGUUACCGCAACCGUCGGUGGAACAAUCGGCGGCGCACCCUAUGCCAUCCAGAAGUAGCCACCGACGCCCGCAUCAACUUCCGUCUCCUCCUCAAGAGCAGCCAUUUCAGCACUCCCACUGAGA
rnacentral:lncRNA from 1 species